rnacentral:rRNA from 1 species
GGGCGUAAAGGGCUCGCAGGCGGUUUCUUAAGUCUGAUGUGAAAGCCCCCGGCUCAACCGGGGAGGGUCAUUGGAAACUGGGAAACUUGAGUGCAGAAGAGGAGAGUGGAAUUCCACGUGUAGCGGUGAAAUGCGUAGAGAUGUGGAGGAACACCAGUGGCGAAGGCGACUCUCUGGUCUGUAACUGACGCUGAGGAGCGAAAGCGUGGGGAGCGAACAGGAUUAGAUACCCUGGUAGUCCACGCCGUAAACGAUGAGUGCUAAGUGUUAGGGGGUUUCCGCCCCUUAGUGCUGCAGCUAACGCAUUAAGCACUCCGCCUGGGGAGUACGGUCGCAAGACUGAAACUCAAAGGAAUUGACGGGGGCCCGCACAAGCGGUGGAGCAUGUGGUUUAAUUCGAAGCAACGCGAAGAACCUUACCAGGUCUUGACAUCCUCUGACAACCCUAGAGAUAGGGCUUUCCCUUCGGGGACAGAGUGACAGGUGGUGCAUGGUUGUCGUCAGCUCGUGUCGUGAGAUGUUGGGUUAAGUCCCGCAACGAGCGCAACCCUUGAUCUUAGUUGCCAGCAUUUAUUUGGGCACUCUAAGGUGACUGCCGGUGACAAACCGGAGGAAGGUGGGGAUGACGUCAAAUCAUCAUGCCCCUUAUGACCUGGGCUACACACGUGCUACAAUGGACAGAACAAAGGGCUGCGAGACCGCAAGGUUUAGCCAAUCCCACAAAUCUGUUCUCAGUUCGGAUCGCAGUCUGCAACUCGACUGCGUGAAGCUGGAAUCGCUAGUAAUCGCGGAUCACCAUGCCGCGGUGAAUACGUUCCCGGGCCUUGUACACACCGCCCGUCACACCACGAGAGUUUGCAACACCCGAAGUCGGUGAGGUAA